GUAUAAUUAAUUUGCAGAUACAAUAUUAAAAAAUGGGUGACGAAAAUGGAGAAGUCGUUCCUGAUCAACAAUCUGAAGCAACAUCUGAAACUACCGUAAAUACCACGACAACAGAAAAUACAGAAUAUAUAAGAGAUCCUAUACUUGACAAAGAGGAAAUGAAAAAAAUGUUUGUUGGAGGAAUUACAACAGAUUCUACUGAUGAAGAGUUAAAAACAUUUUUUGAACAAGUUGCCAAUGGAAAAGUGUCAGAUCAUGUAAUAAUUAAAAAAGAUACGGAUAAGAAAAGUCAUUUUGGAUUUAUCACUUUUGAAACAUCUGAAAUGGUAGAUGAAGUACUGUUAAGGAGAAAAGACUUAAAUUUUAAAGGGCGUUUAUUAGAUGUUAACAGGGCUGUUCCCAAAGAUAAUCAGUCUCCUGGGGCCCAUGAAAAAACAAAAAAACUAUUUAUUGCUAAUCUUCCAAAAAAUAAUUGUAGCGAAGAUGAUAUAAGAAAAUACUUUGAAUGUCGUCACCCUAAAAAAUUUGGUGUUAUUGAGUCAGUCCAGCUCAUUAAAAAAAAGGAUGAACAGGGAAAUAAAUUAGAGGAAAAUAAAGGUUAUGGAUUUAUUAUGGUUUCUAGUGAAGACAUGGCUGAUAAAAUGGCUAUUCAACAUGCUACAUUUGAAUUUGGCGGAAGGCGAAUAGAGUUAAAAAAAUCUGUGCCAACCAAUGAAAUUGGUGGUGGUAAGAGAGGUGCUGGAUAUGCUGCUCGUGGAGCGUACGGUGCUGCUUACAGUCCAUAUAGUUAUGGUGGUUAUGGAGGUUGGGAUGGGUAUGGAUAUGGUCCUGGAUAUGGUGGUGCUUAUGACUAUGGAUAUGGUUAUGGUGGUGGCUAUGCAGCCCCACAACCACAAAGAGGCAGUCGUGGAGGUGUUCGAGGUGGCAGAUACGCUCCUUAUUAAGUUUCCAGGUGAAGGUGUUAUUCCAUGACAUGGCGUGGUCACUUGAAUAUUGGUGGUAUUUAAAGCAUUAAUGCUGAGAUUUUGUUAGGACUUGUUUUUAUUUAAAGAGUGUUAAAAGUUUUUUUUUUUUUUUUUUUUUUUUUUUUUUUUUCAUUGAACUGUUUUAUUUUGAAAAAGUGAAAUAAGUGAAAACCUUUUUCAAUUAAAAAAUAGAUAAAUAAAAGAAAAUGAAAAAAAGGUUUGUAAAAAAAAAAAAACGCUUUUAAAGAAAUUUUUUUUUUUCCUUUGUUUUUUGUUUUUUUUAAAAACUAAAAGAAAAGAAUGUUGCAUCAUUUGCUACAACUUCGAAAGGAUAUAGAACAAAACAACAACUUGUGCAGGUUUCGCUCUUUGGUUUAUAUGAAAUCCGUGUCCUAUUUCAUUGAAAUGCGUUUACUGCCGAUCUAAGUUUAUAUCACUAUUUAUGAUUUUGUAAUUAAGAGAAUAUAAUAUUUAUUGUUAUUAAAGAUGUUUAUGCAAACUUCAUAUAGUAACUUGAACAAAGAAAAGCAAGAUGAAUUUUUUCAGCUUUUUAAAGGCUUUGGUUUUCAUUUUCAUAUAUGUCAUUUAUUUGAUGUUUUUUAAAUAUGCCCCUGAUGAAAAGGUUGAAGAAAUUGCUGAAACUUUUCUUAACUGUUGGUCAGUUGCUUUCAUUCAAACAACUUUUUAAUUGUAUUUAUGCUUCUUUUUUUUUUAAUAGAAAAAACGAUUUUAAAAGUUUGUACUUGACAACAAGAUAUUAAAUAUGUUAAACGUCUGCGUGACGUUACAACUA